AACUCUGGGACUGAAACACCUCUGUGUGCUUAUUUUCCAUGACAGUCUUUGUAGAGCUCUUUGGAGACACCUUAUAAUAUUUGAACAUAAUGGAAAGGGAGGGGACAGAGUUAAUUUUGCUUCAUCUUCUUCCUCAUUGUUCUCCCACUUUUUUUUUCCACCUUGAGGAGAAGAGAGGAUGCUGAUGGGAGAGUCCAUGCCUUCCACUGAAGCCUUUACCUGAAAUGUGCCACAUCUGGACAGACAUAGCAGCGUACUGACCUAAUUCUUCAGGUUGUGCAGCUGUGUACUCACUAUUUUAAGAGAUAAAUGAAUAACAGUCUCUCCCUUCUCCAGUGUAAAUUGACCAAAGCCUCCUCAUGUCAGUGAAGCCACAUGAAGUUGUGAAAACUGAGUGCCUGGGGCUGAAUGUUAGCUGGAGAAAGAAAAGGGUUAUAUUUUUGAAGGUGUCUGCUCUCUUGUUGGCUGCUGGACAGCUGUAUCACAAGGAUUUCCCUCUGGUAUAAAACACAGAGCUCUUCUGUAUCAGUGUGGAAUGCAGUAGCAAAUCACUGUACAGUGGCCCAUAAGGAUACCAGCUACCCUUAUAAACUUUUUAUAACUUAGGAAAAUAAACAUGUGGUUUCAGGCCUCUGCA
rnacentral:lncRNA from 1 species